ACAACUUGUCUAAGAUUACGCCAUGCAUGUGUAAGUAUAAAUAAUCCACAUUAAAACUGCCAAUGGGUCCAUAUAUCCAUUAUAAUUUAUUUGAAGAAAUGGACCACUUGGAUAACCCUAAUAAUUCUAAAGCUAAUACCUGAACGUCUCCUCCAAUUUUAAAAGGUGUGUUUUUUAUAAUGAAAACCCAUAAACUUUGUCUGUUUGUGAGUAAAAAAAACUUGUUAUAUCGCAUGCGUUUGUAACGAUGUGUCUUUUAAGUUUCUGCCCCAUCAGCUUUUUUUGGUGGUGUAUUGGACUACCAUGGCGGUAACGGGUAACAAAGAAUUUGGGUUCUAUUUUUGAGAAGGAGCCUGAGAAAUGGCUACCACAUCCAACGAAGGCAGCAGGCGCGUAAAUUACCCCCUCCUGACGCAGGGAGGUAGUGACAAUAAAUCACAAUGCGGGACUUCUGUUUCUUUUUUGGAUUGAGAACAACACACAACACUUAUCUUUAAACAAUUGGAGGGCGAGUCUGGUGCCGCCACCCCCGCCAAUUCCACCCCCCAUACCGUAUAUUAACAUUGUUUCAGUGAAAAAAAAUCAAAAAAA
rnacentral:rRNA from 1 species